rnacentral:rRNA from 1 species
UCGGGAAUUUUGGGCAAUGGGCGAAAGCCUGACCCAGCAACGCCGCGUGAGGGGUGAAGUAUUUCGGUAUGUAAACCUCGAAAGAAUGGGAAGAAUAAAUGACGGUACCAUUUAUAAGCUCCGGCUAACUACGUGCCAGCAGCCGCGGUAAUACGUAGGGAGCAAGCGUUGUUCGGAUUUACUGGGCGUAAAGGGCGCGUAGGCGGCGCGGUAAGUCACUUGUGAAAUCUCUGAGCUUAACUCAGAACGGCCAAGUGAUACUGCUGUGCUAGAGUGCGGAAGAGGCAACCGGAAUUCUUGGUGUAGCAGUGAAAUGCGUAGAUAUCAAGAGGAACACCUGAGGCGAAGGCGGGUUGCUGGGCCGACACUGACGCUGAUGCGCGAAAGCCAGGGGAGCAAACG